ACUGGGGUGGAUGCCCUAGAAUGGCCGUAAGGGCCUCAACCCUGUCCUCGGGGUGUGUGGGAGCCACCCCUACUUGUGGAAGGUGGAGGAUGUGGGCAAUAAGAUCCUCCGUAAUGAACAGAGGGACACCGGCUACCGUGCCCUCGAUACCCCCAUCUCCCCGAUGGACGGUACCGUAAAACUCUCUAACUAAUCCAGGGUAAGUUGGGAGAUCUAAUGUGAGGAAAUACUCUAAGCCCUGGACACGCAAUCUCUCACCUAUGGUGAAACCCUCCCGGGAGAGAUAGUCGAAAUCGACAUAUCUCCCGGUGGUGACGGCCUUCCCGGCGCACGGCCUCGCG
rnacentral:lncRNA from 1 species